rnacentral:rRNA from 1 species
ACGUAGGGUGCGAGCGUUAAUCGGAAUUACUGGGCGUAAAGUGUGCGCAGGCGGCUGAGCAAGUCGAGUGUGAAAGCCCCGGGCUUAACUUGGGAAUUGCGCUCGAAACUACUUGGCUGGAGUGUGGCAGAGGAGGGUGGAAUUCCACGUGUGGCAGUGAAAUGCGUAGAUAUGUGGAGGAAUACCGAUGGCGAAGGCAGCCCCCUGGGAUAACACUGACGCUCAUGCACGAAAGCGUGGGGAGCAAACAGGA